GCUAAACGCGAAGAACCUUACCAGGUCUUGACAUACCAGUGACCGUCCUAGAGAUAGGAUUUUUCCUUCGGGGACAAUGGAUACAGGUGGUGCAUGGUUGUCGUCAGCUCGUGUCGUGAGAUGUUGGGUUAAGUCCCGCAACGAGCGCAACCCCUGUCGUUAGUUGCCAGCAUUCAGUUGGGGACUCUAACGAGACUGCCAGUGACAAACUGGAGGAAGGUGGGGAUGACGUCAAAUCAUCAUGCCCCUUAUGACCUGGGCUACACACGUGCUACAAUGGUUGGUACAAAGAGAAGCGAAGCGGUGACGUGGAGCAAACCUCAUAAAGCCAAUCUCAGUUCGGAUUGUAGGCUGCAACUCGCCUACAUGAAGUUGGAAUCGCUAGUAAUCGCGAAUCAGCAUGUCGCGGUGAAUACGUUCCCGGGUC
rnacentral:rRNA from 1 species